rnacentral:rRNA from 1 species
UUUUAUUUGAGAGUUUGAUCCUGGCUCAGGAUGAACGCUGGCGGCGUGCCUAACACAUGCAAGUUGAGCGAUUUACUUCGGUAAAGAGCGGCGGACGGGUGAGUAACGCGUGGGUAACCUACCCUGUACACACGGAUAACAUACCGAAAGGUAUGCUAAUACGGGAUAAUAUAUUUGAGAGGCAUCUCUUAAAUAUCAAAGGUGAGCCAGUACAGGAUGGACCCGCGUCUGAUUAGCUAGUUGGUAAGGUAACGGCUUACCAAGGCGACGAUCAGUAGCCGACCUGAGAGGGUGAUCGGCCACAUUGGAACUGAGACACGGUCCAAACUCCUACGGGAGGCAGCAGUGGGGAAUAUUGCA